GACAGAGGGGGCAAGCGUUGUCCGGAGUUACUGGGCGUAAAGGGCGCGGAGGCGGUCUGCGGCGUCGGCGCUGAAAGCGCCCCGCUUAACGGGGCGAGGCGUGCCGAUACGCGCAGACUUGAGGCGAGCAGAGGGUGGUGGAAUUCCGGGUGGAGCGGUGAAAUGCGUAGAGAUCCGGAGGAACGCCAGUGGGGAAGCCGGCCACCUGGGCUCGUCCUGACGCUGCGGCGCGCACGCGUGGGGAGCAAACCGG
rnacentral:rRNA from 1 species